ACUAUUUGUGUCCCUGGCUUGUGGGCAGUCAGACUGCCUCAGGUGUCCUCCCUUCUGGAAGCUUCCAUCUCCUCCACCAUGCACACUCCUUCCUCCAGGGAGCAUCGAAGCCACGCUGCAAAGACACAGCCAGGCCUCUGCCCGACGGCCCACCCAAGCUGACAGAAACAGGCCUUCCUGCUCUUCUCAUUCCAGAAAAUAGAGUGAAAUGCUCCUCAGAGAAGCAAAUGACAGGGGAGGCCCCCUAUAAAGACAG
rnacentral:lncRNA from 1 species